GAUGAACGCUGGCGGCGUGCUUAACACAUGCAAGUCGAACGAGAAGUGGAGACGGAAACCUUCGGGCGGAAGACUUUAUUUCGAGUGGCGGACGGGUGAGUAACGCGUGGGUAACCUGCCUCAUACAGGGGGAUAACAGUUGGAAACGACUGUUAAUACCGCAUAAGACCACAGCACCGCAUGGUGCGGGGGUAAAAACUCCGGUGGUAUGAGAUGGACCCGCGUUCGAUUAGCCAGUUGGCGGGGUAACGGCCCACCAAAGCGACGAUCGAUAGCCGAUCUGAGAGGAUGACCGGCCAAAUUUGGAAUGAGACACGGCCCAAACUCCCACGGGAGGCAGCAGUGGGGAAUAUUGCACAAUGGGGGAAACCCUGAUGCAGCGACGCCGCGUGAGUGAAGAAGUAUUUCGGUAUGUAAAGCUCUAUCAGCAGGGAAGAAAAUGACGGUACCUGAGUAAGAAGCCCCGGCUAACUACGUG
rnacentral:rRNA from 1 species